rnacentral:piRNA from 1 species
UCCACAAGGGCUAGAUUGGAUUCAGUAU